rnacentral:rRNA from 1 species
AUGCACGCUGGCGGCGUGCCUAAUACAUGCAAGUCGAGCGAACAGAUGAGGAGCUUGCUCCUCUGACGUUAGCGGCGGACGGGUGAGUAACACGUGGAUAACCUACCUAUAAGACUGGGAUAACUUCGGGAAACCGGAGCUAAUACCGGAUAAUAUAUUGAACCGCAUGGUUCAAUAGUGAAAGACGGUUUUGCUGUCACUUAUAGAUGGAUCCGCGCCGCAUUAGCUAGUUGGUAAGGUAACGGCUUACCAAGGCAACGAUGCGUAGCCGACCUGAGAGGGUGAUCGGCCACACUGGAACUGAGACACGGUCCAGACUCCUACGGGAGGCAGCAGUAGGGAAUCUUCCGCAAUGGGCGAAAGCCUGACGGAGCAACGCCGCGUGAGUGAUGAAGGUCUUCGGAUCGUAAAACUCUGUUAUUAGGGAAGAACAAUGUGUAAGUAACUAUGCACGUCUUGACGGUACCUAAUCAGAAAGCCACGGCUAACUACGUG